rnacentral:lncRNA from 1 species
AUUUGUGCACUUUGGCAUGUCAACUAGCAUUGUCCCUUGGUGCCUCUUGCAGUUGUGUCACUUUAAAUAGUACUGACUCCUCUGCACCAGGCACGAGGAUGACAUACCAUUUAUGUGCAACUUCUUACAAUAUCUUACCAUAUCAUUAAUGUCCCGAAACACAUUUUAAUAUGCACCCACCAUGCCAUAUAGCACCGUCCCUAGGUGCCUCUUGCAGUUCAGCUAGAUAUAUUUAGCCUACUCACAGUAUUCUUUUUUGUUACUUUCCAGAGGUGUGCCUGAGACAAAGGUUUUAUAUA